CACGUAGGGUGCAAGCGUUAAUCGGAAUUACUGGGCGUAAAGCGUGCGCAGGCGGUUUGUAAGUCUGUCGUGAAAGCCCGAGGCUUACCUCGGAAGUGCAUUGGAGACUGGCGGACUGGAGUCCGGAGAGGAGGUGGAAUUCCUGGUGUAGCGGUGAAAUGCGUAGAUAUCAGGAGGAACACCGGUGGCGAAGGCGGCCUCUGGACGGUGACUGACGCUGAGACGCGAAAGCGUGGGGAGCAAACAGG
rnacentral:rRNA from 1 species